UGGGCUGUAGCCAAGCGGUAAGGCAACGGACUUUGACUCCGUCAUUCGCAGGUUCGAACCCUGCCAGCCCAGCCA
rnacentral:tRNA from 1 species